rnacentral:lncRNA from 1 species
CUGGCACACUUGUGUCCUGAGACCAAUGGUGUGAAUGGACACAGCACAUUCUGAAAAGUAGUAGCAGGAUGUAUAAAAAGCUUAAAAAUGUUGCUUUUUAGAUGCAAUAAUUUUACUCUGCAAAGAAAUUAACUUGAUGAAGGUGAAGAAAUGUGUACCAAGAGGUUCAUUGCAACAGUAUCUAAAAUGGACAAAAGAGGAAGAUAAGAAAGAAGGCCGUGCAUGUACCCCAAAUGACACUCUCAACAGCCUCCAUGGACAGGCAGAAAUGAACCGGGAAUGGAUCCACUCCAGUGGCCUGCUGCACUUGACAGCUCUUGGCGUGGUCCCAUCUUGGGCACCACGGACCCACCAACAAGAUUGCAAGAGACAAACACAUAUGUGGCCUACACAAGAGGUAAGGAGAGGCUUGAUGAAUGAAGUGGAUUAAGUUUCAUUUCUA